AUCGUAAGCAGUGGGUCCAUGGACGACAGGGCGGAAUCUAUGAGCUGUUUCUAUGCAGCGGGCUUUGGAGGACUCUUCUGUUGGCCUAGCAAGUUUACUACAUGAAACAACUAUAUACUCUGUGUUCUUCAGGUGCAUGCUUGUGUGUCGUGCUGAUGUCGGUGUAGUGGCCUGCUUUACCAAUAUAAUAUGAUGGACAGUAUAACUGCCCAUACAAUAAAAAGGUUUGGAGAAGUUUAUGAGUACAUGUGUAUGUGGGUUUCGACCAAACUGUCCCGGCCGCUAACAGAAACAGUAAACAUUCCUACGUGUUAAUUACAUCUUAAUUACGUGCCAGGUACAGAGUAGUCACAAUACAAGCAAAAAAGACUCUACACGGCUAAUGGCAUCAAACAUUCUGUUCAAAUAUCUACAGAAAAUCUCCUAUUUAACACUGAUAUAAUAAGCGGUUCCUUAUUUGACCCUUAAAAUCUUAUCCUUCUCUAUUUGACACUGGAUCUAAAUUUCAUGCCUUAUAUGACACUACAUUAGCUUUUCCAUCCAAAGACUUUUAAAUACUCUGUAAAAAGAUAAAUUUACCCCUGUUUGGCUCAUGUAGCAAUCAUUGACAUAUUAAUAUUUUGUGCUAUAAAAAAAUAUAUAGACACGUAAGAUUUAGAUGAACUUUAACAAUUAAGUUUACAAGAAUGACAGUGUUGUAGGAGAAAAUAAUGAAAUUUAAGAUGAAUUUUAGUUGAGUUCAAAUAGAGUAUUUGAAUUUAUAUGAAAAAGAGGUAUAAGAUAAAUUCUACAUAUCACGUAAGCAAUGCUGGCGGCGGGGCUGGAGCGCUCCGCGCGGCUAGCAGCGGCACCCAGCACGAGUGGGGACCCAAACGGACCAGCGGCGGCGGCGGAUGUGUGCGUGCACAGGCUACACCGCAGCGGCGGUGGACGUGUGCGUGCACAGUGCAUCAACAGCGAACGUCCAGCCGCACGCAUGCAACAGGUACCGCCCAAGCCACUGUGGCCAGCAGCACCGGAGGGAGCAGGCGGCAAGCAUCUAGCGACAAACCAAGCAGCAUGUUCUUUUUGAUAUAAGCCCACUUUUUGACAGGGGUAAAAUAGUCUUUGCACAUCAUAGUUAAUGGAUGAAAAAACUAGGGGAAUGUCAUAUAGGCAUGAAAUUUAGAUCUAGUGUUAAAUUGGGGAGGCUGAAGUUUUAAGGGCCAAGCAUUAUACCAAUAUCAAAUGAGGUUUGUUACGUUGCUUGGGAGGAACCGGUGGUUCCUCUCCCCCUAAAUUUUCUGGAGCGUUGAUUUUAACAGAGGGUGUUUUAUUUUAAUCAGGGCCAGUUUAGUCAAUUUAUCCUCAGCACAAAUACGCCUUGUUCAUCCAAUGACCGGUUAGACCAUCGCUGACUGACUGCUUCAAUCUUAUCCCCAAUCGGCGGCCUGCGUGCGGCCCUUGCCUGGCGGCGGCGAUCUGCGCACAGGCCUUCCCCGGCGGCGGCGGCCUGCACGCGGCCCUUUCUCGACCGGCCAUCCACGUGCGGCUCUUCCCUGCGCCAGGCAUCAGGACCAACAUCGGCCACUCAACUGGCGGCCAAUACGUCAACGAACAACACAGCCAAGGUGGGAGCUGGAACUUUGCAACACCUUUCUGGCCCAUUAAUCAGUGUUUAAAAUAGCGGUUUGUGUUUGUAGAGACUAAGAAAGAUACAGCAGGCUAUAGCCUAGCUAAACCGCUAAGGUUGUGUACCAUGUAUAAAUCUAUGAGUAAUUUUGCAUAUAAAUAUGAAAUUAAGAAAAUUUCAUGCACUGAAGUACGUCUAGGGCUUCAUUCCCCCAUCACAUCAUUGACAAAAUACUAAGUUUUGUAAAUGAUAAAGUUCAAUACUAAACUAAAAAUAAAUAAAGACCAAUUAUAUGGUUUAGCUAGCUAAAUAAUCCUUAAUUUAGCGGGCGGGAUGUAGCCAGCUAUUAGCGGAUUUAGCCUUUUAGAACUAAAAGAUGGAUAUCCUAGCCUUCUCCUCUCUCAAAGGAUAUAGCGGGCUGUAGCGGUGGCUAUAGCUCGCUAUUCAGAACCUUGCUCUUGAUGCUGAAGCUUUGGCUGCGAUGCAAGGUUGGAAACCUGCUUUACAAUAGGGGAUGCCUCUUUACAACAGGGGAGCAAUCACCAAUCCGAUUAACCUUCAGUGUGCUAUCAGAUGUUUAGAUUAAUCAAUUGCAUGGUGGUGUGUAUCAUGACUCUGAAAAGUUGAAGACCUGAGCAGGGUGCUAAUAAGUGCUUUAGAGAUUUCACAUUUUUUGUAACCAUGUAAUAAGAUUGUUAUGUAUCACCUUGAGUGCGACUUUGAGAAACUGAAUCAGGGUCAGUUAGGAUCUGAAGAAUUGGUACAAGUAUCUUAAGCUGUGUUGCAAUCACUUUUCACACAACCAUGUAUUUCGCGUUACAGAAAUGGUAGUACUGUCUUGUAUA